rnacentral:misc_RNA from 1 species
AGGGGGUGUUGGUUCCGGCACUCAUGUACGGAAGUGAAAGUUGGGUAUGAUAGGAGUUAAACUGAGUGACAGGAUAAGAAAUAGUGAGAUAAGGAAACGUUGUGGUCUGAAAGAAGAUGUAGUGACAAAAAUUGAGAAAGGUAUGCUCAGAUGGUUUGGUCAUUCGAGAGAAUGAAUGAAGAACGAUUGACGAAAAAAGUGUAUAAGGCAAGUGUGGGUGGAAGGGUUGGAAGGG